rnacentral:rRNA from 1 species
GGGGGCUAAGCUUCGUUGUCGAGAGGGGAACAGCCCAGACCGCUGAUUAAGGUCCCAAAUUUUAUGUUAAGUGAGUAAGGAAGUGAUGAUUCUAAGACAGUUGGAAUGUUGGCUUAGAGGCAGCAAUCAUUUAAAGAGUGCGUAACAGCUCACCAAUCGAGAAUUAUUGCGUCAAUAAUAAUCGGGGCUCAAACAUAAAACCGACAUCGCGGGUGUAUAUUGAAAAAUAUACGCGAUAGGAGAGCGAAGUAUUCAGCUGCGAAGGUAUACCGUAAGGAGUGCUGGA